rnacentral:rRNA from 1 species
AUACGUAGGGGGCGAGCGUUGUCCGGAAUGAUUGGGCGUAAAGGGCGCGUAGGCGGCCCGGUAAGUCUGGAGUGAAAGUCCUGCUUUUAAGGUGGGAAUUGCUUUGGAUACUGUCGGGCUUGAGUGCAGGAGAGGUAAGUGGAAUUCCCAGUGUAGCGGUGAAAUGCGUAGAGAUUGGGAGGAACACCAGUGGCGAAGGCGACGUACUGGACUGUAACUGACGCUGAGGCGCGAAAGUGUGGGGAGCAAACAGGAUUAGAUACCCUGGUAGUCCACACUGUAAACGAUGAAUGCUAGGUGUAGGGGGUAUCGACCCCUUCUGUGCCGCAGUUAGCACAAUAAGCAUUCCGCCUGGGGAGUACGGCCGCAAGGUUGAAACUCAAAUGAAUUGGCGGGG